rnacentral:rRNA from 1 species
GACGAACGCUGGCGGCGUGCUUAACACAUGCAAGUCGAACGGAAAGGCCCUGCUUUUGUGGGGUGCUCGAGUGGCGAACGGGUGAGUAACACGUGAGUAACCUGCCCUUGACUUUGGGAUAACUUCAGGAAACUGGGGCUAAUACCGGAAAGGAGCUCCUGCUGCAUGGUGGGGGUUGGAAAGUUUCGGCGGUUGGGGAUGGACUCGCGGCUUAUCAGCUUGUUGGUGGGGUAGUGGCUUACCAAGGCUUUGACGGGUAGCCGGCCUGAGAGGGUGACCGGCUACAUUGGGACUGAGAUACGGCCCAGACUCCUACGGGAGGCAGCAGUGGGGAAUAUUGCACAAUGGGCGGAAGCCUGAUGCAGCAACGCCGCGUGCGGGAUGACGGCCUUCGGGUUGUAAACCGCUUUCGCCUGUGACGAAGCGUGAGUGACGGUAAUGGGUAAAGAAGCACCGGCUAACUACGUG